rnacentral:rRNA from 1 species
GAAUGCGAUCAUACCAGCACUAUGGCACCGGAUCCCAUCAGAACUCCGAAGUGAAGGCGUGCUUGGCAGAGAGUAGUACUAGGAUGGUGACCCCUGGGAAGUCCUCGUGUUGCAUCCC